GUUAUGCACCAGAGCAAGUGCUGGUGCAUAACUGGGGCCGCCAAGCCUCUGUGGCCGGCCCUUUGAACCAGGAGCUGACACGU
rnacentral:snoRNA from 1 species